rnacentral:rRNA from 1 species
CCCUUAGAUGUCCGGGGCUGCACGCGCGCUACACUGACUGGCUCAGCGUGUGCCUACCCUACGCCGGCAGGCGCGGGUAACCCGUUGAACCCCAUUCGUGAUGGGGAUCGGGGAUUGCAAUUAUUCCCCAUGAACGAGGAAUUCCCAGUAAGUGCGGGUCAUAAGCUUGCGUUGAUUAAGUCCCUGCCCUUUGUACACACCGCCCGUCGCUACUACCGAUUGGAUGGUUUAGUGAGGGCCUCGGAUUGGUCUCGGCCCGCUCUUUACCGGGCGGCGCCGUUGGUCGAGAAGACGCUCGAACUUGAUCGUUUAGAGGAAGUAAAAGUCGUAACA